rnacentral:rRNA from 1 species
UGCUCCUACGGGAGGCAGCAGUGGGGAAUAUUGCACAAUGGGGGAAACCCUGAUGCAGCGAUGCCGCGUGAAUGAAGACGGCCUUCGGGUUGUAAAGUUCUGUUGCAGGGGACGAAAAUGACGGUACCCUGCAAGAAAGCUCCGGCUAACUACGUGCCAGCAGCCGCGGUAAUACGUAGGGAGCAAGCGUUGUCCGGAAUUAUUGGGUGUAAAGGGAGCGUAGGCGGGAGGAUAAGUUGAAUGUG